UACAGACGGUCCAAACGUUAUUCGGAAUCACUGGGCUUAAAGAGUUCGUAGGCGGUCAGGAAAGUGGGGUGUGAAAGCCCUCGGCUUAACCGAGGAAUUGCGCUCCAAACUCCCUGACUUGAGGAGGCUAGAGGUAAGCGGAACUGAUGGUGGAGCGGUGAAAUGCGUUGAUAUCAUCAGGAACACCGGAGACGAAGGCGGCUUACUGGGGCCUUCUGACGCUGAGGAACGAAAGCUAGGGGAGCGAACGGG
rnacentral:rRNA from 1 species